UUUUUGACUUCUUGUUACAUCUAUCUUCAUGCCUUGUCGAUUUGUUACAUCCUUUUUCUAUAUAAAUCGAAUAUUAUCGGACUACUACUGAAGCAUUUAUAGGCAGUAUAUUGGAAAAAUCCUUACUUGCCGGUAUAGGAAUAUGAAGUACUAUGGCUUCAUUUUGUGCUUUAUUGUUUUCCUUGCAAUUCUUGUAACUUCUUAUGCUGGAAGAACUUUUCCAUCGCAAACUCAAAAUACUAAAGUUGUUGAAGCACAAAAGGAUGCAUAUUAUACUAAUAGUGCAGGCCCGGGGGACUGGCAUCACCGACAUUAAUUUGCAGUUUAAUGUCACCGACUCACCGUGCAAAUGUGAUAUGUGUUCUAUAUAUGCUUCUCCUAUCUCUAAUAUAUAUAUAUAUAAAAUAAAUUAGUUAUAAUACCAUAAUUGUACGUGAUCUAUAUAUUGGUGUGUGUCAACCAAAUAUUUCUAUGUAUCAUAUAGUUCACCACUGAAUUAUGUCAUUCACCGGAUAGUGACGUUGAUGUUAUAUGCUGGUUUGUAAUUAAUUUACAUCAUAUGCCACAUAAUGUAUGCCUCUUAUUUUAUAUCAAAUAAAUUAAUUAGAUGCAUGGAA